UAUCGACGAGUUUGAUCCUGGCUCAGAUUGAACGCUGGCGGCAUGCCUAACACAUGCAAGUCGAACGGCAGCACGGUCUGGUUUACCAGAUGGGUGGCGAGUGGCGAACGGGUGAGUAAAGCGUAGGAAUAUACCUUAAAGAGGGGGAUAACCUGGGGAAACUCAGGCUAAUACCGCGUAAACUCUGCGGAGCAAAGCUGGGGACCGAAAGGCCUGGCGCUUUAAGAAUAGCCUGCGUCCGAUUAGCUAGUUGGUGGGGUAAAGGCUCACCAAGGCGACGAUCGGUAGCUGGUCUGAGAGGACGAACAGCCACACUGGGACUGAGACACGGCCCAGACUCCUACGGGAGGCAGCAGUGGGGAAUAUUGGACAAUGGGGGGAACCCUGAUCCAGCAAUGCCGCGUGUGUGAAGAAGGCCUGAGGGUUGUAAAGCACUUUCAGUGGGGAGGAGGAUUACUAGGUUAAGAGCCAGGUAAUUGGACGUUACCCACAGAAGAAGCACCGGCUAACUCCGUG
rnacentral:rRNA from 1 species